rnacentral:rRNA from 1 species
GCAGUAGCCGCGGGAAUACGAAGGGGGCUAGCGUUGUUCGGAUUUACUGGGCGUAAAGGGCGCGUAGGCGGGCGAAUAAGUCAGGGGUGAAAUCCCAAGGCUCAACCUUGGAACUGCCUUUGAUACUGUUUGUCUUGAGUUCGAGAGAGGUAAGUGGAACUGCGAGUGUAGAGGUGAAAUUCGUAGAUAUUCGCAAGAACACCAGUGGCGAAGGCGGCUUACUGGCUCGAAACUGACGCUGAGGCGCGAAAGCGUGGGGAGCAAACAGGAUUAGAUACCCGGGUAGUCCCUGUCUCUUAUAC